rnacentral:rRNA from 1 species
AACGAACGCUGGCGGCAGGCUUAACACAUGCAAGUCGAACGCCCCGCAAGGGGAGUGGCAGACGGGUGAGUAACGCGUGGGAAUCUACCGUACCCUACGGAAUAACGCAUGGAAACGUGUGCUAAUACCGUAUACGCCCUUAGGGGGAAAGAUUUAUCGGGGUAUGAUGAGCCCGCGUUGGAUUAGCUAGUUGGUGGGGUAAAGGCCUACCAAGGCGACGAUCCAUAGCUGGUCUGAGAGGAUGAUCAGCCACAUUGGGACUGAGACACGGCCCAAACUCCUACGGGAGGCAGCAGUGGGGAAUAUUGGACAAUGGGCGCAAGCCUGAUCCAGCCAUGCCGCGUGAGUGAUGAAGGUCUUAGGAUUGUAAAGCUCUUUCACCGAUGAAGAUAAUGACGGUAGUCGGAGAAGAAGCCCCGGCUAACUUCGUGCCAGCCGCCGCAGUAAGAC